UCCCCUAGUAACUGCGAGUGAAGCGGGAAAAGCUCAAAUUUAAAAUCUGGCGGUCUUUGGCCGUCCGAGUUGUAGUCUGGAGAAGUGCUUUCCGCGCUGGACCGUGUAUAAGUCUCUUGGAACAGAGCGUCAUAGAGGGUGAGAAUCCCGUCUUUGACACGGACUACCAGUGCUUUGUGAUGCGCUCUCAAAGAGUCGAGUUGUUUGGGAAUGCAGCUCAAAAUGGGUGGUGAAUUCCAUCUAAAGCUAAAUAUUGGCGAGAGACCGAUAGCGAACAAGUACCGUGAGGGAAAGAUGAAAAGCACUUUGGAAAGAGAGUUAAACAGUACGUGAAAUUGCUGAAAGGGAAACGCUUGAAGUCAGUCGCGUUGUCCGGAACUCAGCCUUGCUUUCGCUUGGUGCACUUUCCGGAUGACGGGUCAGCAUCGAUUUUGACCGUCGGAAAAGGGCUGGAGUAAUGUGGCACCUCCGGGUGUGUUAUAGACUCUGGUCGCAUACGGCGGUUGGGAUCGAGGAACGCAGCGCGCCGCAAGGCAGGGGUUCGCCCACUUUCGCGCUUAGGAUGCUGGCAUAAUGGCUUUAAACGACCCGUCUUGAAACACGGACCAAGGAGUCUAACAUACCUGCGAGUGUUUGGGUGGAAAACCCGAGCGCGUAAUGAAAGUGAAAGUUGAGAUCCCUGUCGUGGGGAGCAUCGACGCCCGGACCUGACGUUCUCUGACGGAUCCGCGGUAGAGCAUGUAUGUUGGGACCCGAAAGAUGGUGAACUAUGCCUGAAUAGGGUGAAGCCAGAGGAAACUCUGGUGGAGGCUCGUAGCGAUUCUGACGUGCAAAUCGAUCGUCAAAUUU
rnacentral:rRNA from 1 species